rnacentral:tRNA from 1 species
ACUUGAGUAGCUUAAUUUAGAGCAUGACGUUGAAGGUGUUAAGGUGAUUAUAUAUCUUCAGGUA